rnacentral:lncRNA from 1 species
UACACUACAAACAAAAAUAAAAUUUAUUCAUGAUUUAUACAACAUCAUACAAAUCGUUGAAUUACAUUUGUACACAGCUAAUGUCACAACCCCACAAGAGAGCAUCCCACAGCAGUAACAUAAAAAUCUCCAACAUGACAAAACACACUAAAGAAUAGUCAUCUCAACUCAAAAACAUGAAAUUUUUUACUGGAACAAGACUGCAAUCAGGAAAGCCAGAAUAACCGAUCCUCCGUAAAUCCGUAAAUCGGAAGCAUUUCCGGCAUCCAUAUCCGGUAACGGUGCAGUGGCGCUGUCCUGCGCCCCAACCAUAGAUAUAUUCAACAAUGCUGAAAAUAUUAGUAAUACAGUGACCAUGACAAAGUAAAGUUGAAAGGUACAAGUUUGUGCCAUGACUAAAAAUAAUACAGUAGUACUAAUUCAGUUUCAACGACUUUACAAAAAAUUUAGCUGCAGGACUAAGUACGUUUGAGCAAGUCAAGGACAAUUUAUAAGAAGCUGUUUGGUGUAGUAGGUGAUGAAUGUAGAUCAAAACUCUUGUUUCCCUGAGGCACCAACCAAAU